AUACUUACCUGGGUGGGGUCACUGGGUGAUCAAUAAGGCCCAUGGCCUAGGUUGAUGACGUCCAUUGCACUUUGGAGGGGUGUCCACCUAAGGUCUCCUAAUUUGGGAGAGCCUGCAUCAUAAUUUGUGGCAGUGGGGGCUUGCGUUCGCGCAGCCCCUAU